AAAGGGAGACCUAAUUCAGGUAGGAGACGAAAAAAAAGUAGUCGCUACCAAGAAUCAAUCCCAAAAGGUCGGAGCGAGGCGAAAUUGGCUUUCAAACUAGGUUCUGGGUUCAAACAAGACCUGAAUCAGGAACAAGGGCUAUUAGCUCAGGUGGUUAGAGCGCACCCCUGAUAAGGGUGAGGUCCCUGGUUCGAGUCCAGGAUGGCCCACCUGCACAGGUGGCAAAAACAAGAGAAGCGAGGAAUCAGCACCUUAUCUUACUUAUAUAGUAAGAGAGAAUGCUGGCUCUGAGUUCAGAGUCCAGAGGAACCUUGAAAACUGCAUAGAGCUAGGUGAAAAAGCCAAAAAAGAAGACCGCAAG
rnacentral:tRNA from 1 species